rnacentral:rRNA from 1 species
ACGAGUGGCGGACGGGUGGGUAAUGUCUGGGAAACUGCCUGGUGGAGGGGGAUAACUACUGGAAACGGUAGCUAAUACCGCAUAACGUCGCAAGACCAAAGAGGGGGACCUUCGGGCCUCUUGCCAUCGGAUGUGCCCAGAUGGGAUUAGCUAGUAGGUGGGGUAACGGCUCACCUAGGCGACGAUCCCUAGCUGGUCUGAGAGGAUGACCAGCCACACUGGAACUGAGACACGGUCCAG